UUCCCAGGCGGUUGGUGUAAUUCGUACUCUGGGCAUGUCGAGAGGCCCGGCCCGAGAUCAGGGCCCCGCUGUGCUAGGUGUGGGACGGACUCAAAUGCAGCCUCAGAGAGCUCAUGGUUUGGACAGGAAGCGUCAUCCCCACCGUGCAGCUGGGGACAGGGGAUCAGUGACUCUUCCGCCGUCACACCAGGGGUCUGUGAGAGCUGGGACCUUGAACCAGGAAGGCUUGUCCAGCGCCUGCACAAGGAGAGAGACACCAGUUCCCUUUAAAUUCCUUUCACAGACCCUCUGUAACGGACGCUCUGAUUUGUGGGAGCUGGUGAGACCCGGCUGGAGAUCAGCCCAGGUGGGCCCCUGCAGUAGGUGCUACCCCAGUGCGUGUGGGUUUCAGAUGGGCCCAGCUGCGCAGCAGGAAAACUGAAAGCAGCAGGCUGUGUGUGCGAGCAGGCAGGCGGGGCCAGGCAGCACUGAUGGACAGGAGGUUACGCCAGCCGUGCUGGGGUUUGGUGGCUCAAGGGGACCCGUGGAGAAGCAGGGAGGAGUGGACAUUCUCAGCUGCAACAGCUAGAGGGUUAGGAGUGGAGGUUCGAUUCUGAUUGGCACUCGCCUCCUUUGGAAAUGACCUUCCGUGAUGAAACAGUUUGUGGCGUGAGUGCGUCAGGACGGCAUCUGAAGGGACUUUGGAGAGAGGACCGCAGAGUGCUCCGUCUAUUUAACUGGCCUUCACCCGAUCAUCCAUAUGAACCAUGUGCAUCGGCUUGCUAAGGAGCACCUUUCUUUGCAGGGGAUGACUGAGGGGCUUCGG